GACGAACGCUGGCGGCGCGCCUAACACAUGCAAGUCGAACGAGCGAGAGAGAGCUUGCUUUCUCGAGCGAGUGGCGAACGGGUGAGUAACGCGUGAGGAACCUGCCUCAAAGAGGGGGACAACAGUUGGAAACGACUGCUAAUACCGCAUAAGCCCACGACCCGGCAUCGGGAAGAGGGAAAAGGAGCAAUCCGCUUUGAGAUGGCCUCGCGUCCGAUUAGCUAGUUGGUGAGGUAACGGCCCACCAAGGCGACGAUCGGUAGCCGGACUGAGAGGUUGAACGGCCACAUUGGGACUGAGACACGGCCCAGACUCCUACGGGAGGCAGCAGUGGGGAAUAUUGCACAAUGGGGGAAACCCUGAUGCAGCGACGCCGCGUGGAGGAAGAAGGUCUUCGGAUUGUAAACUCCUGUUGUUGAGGAAGAUAAUGACGGUACUCAACAAGGAAGUGACGGCUAACUACGUGCCAGCAGCCGCGGUAAAACGUAGGUCACAAGCGUUGUCCGGAAUUACUGGGUGUAAAGGGAGCGCAGGCGGGAAGACAAGUUGGAAGUGAAAUCCAUGGGCUCAACCCAUGAACUGCUUUCAAAACUGUUUUUCUUGAGUAGUGCAGAGGUAGGCGGAAUUCCCGGUGUAGCGGUGGAAUGCGUAGAUAUCGGGAGGAACACCAGUGGCGAAGGCGGCCUACUGGGCACCAACUGACGCUGAGGCUCGAAAGUGUGGGUAGCAAACAGGAUUAGAUACCCUGGUAGUCCACACCGUAAACGAUGGAUUACUAGGUGUUGGGGGAUUGACCCCUUCAGUGCCGCAGUUAACACAAUAAGUAAUCCACCUGGGGAGUACGACCGCAAGGUUGAAACUCAAAGGAAUUGACGGGGGCCCGCACAAGCAGUGGAGUAUGUGGUUUAAUUCGACGCAACGCGAAGAACCUUACCAAGUCUUGACAUCCUGCGACGAUGCUGGAAACAGUAUUUUCCUUCGGGACGCAGAGACAGGUGGUGCAUGGUUGUCGUCAGCUCGUGUCGUGAGAUGUUGGGUUAAGUCCCGCAACGAGCGCCACCCUUAUGGUCAGUUACUACGCAAGAGGACUCUGGCCAGACUGCCGUUGACAAAACGGAGGAAGGUGGGGAUGACGUCAAAUCAUCAUGCCCUUUAUGACUUGGGCUACACACGUACUACAAUGGCGUUAAACAAAGAGAAGCAAGACCGCGAGGUGGAGCAAAACUCAGAAACAACGUCCCAGUUCGGACUGCAGGCUGCAACUCGCCUGCACGAAGCCGGAAUUGCUAGUAAUCGUGGAUCAGCAUGCCACGGUGAAUACGUUCCCGGGCCUUGCACA
rnacentral:rRNA from 1 species